UACGUAGGGUGCGAGCGUUAAUCGGAAUUACUGGGCGUAAAGCGUGCGCAGGCGGCUUUGCAAGACAGAUGUGAAAUCCCCGGGCUCAACCUGGGAACUGCAUUUGUGACUGCAAGGCUUGGAGUGCGGCAGAGGAGACUGGAAUUCCUGGUGUAGCAGUGAAAUGCGUAGAUAUCAGGAGGAACACCGAUGGCGAAGGCAGGUCUCUGGGCUGACACUGACGCUCAUGCACGAAAGCGUGGGGAGCAAACAGG
rnacentral:rRNA from 1 species